rnacentral:miRNA from 1 species
GCCUGAUUUGAGUGCAGCCU